GAUGAACGCUAAGCGGCAGGCCUAAUACAUGCAAGUCGAACGGUAGUGGUAGCAAUAUCAUGAGAGUGGCGCACGGGUGAGUAACGCGUAUGCAACCUGGCCUUCAGCGAGGGAUAGCCUGGAGAAAUCCAGAUUAAUACCUCAUAUUAUUUAGGAAUCACCUGAUUUUUAAAUGAAAGGAUUUAUUCACUGAAGGAUGGGCAUGCGUGAC
rnacentral:rRNA from 1 species